rnacentral:rRNA from 1 species
UACAGAGGUCCCAAGCGUUGUUCGGAUUCACUGGGCGUAAAGGGUGCGUAGGUGGUGGGGAAAGUUCGAUGUGAAAGCUCCGAGCUUAACUCGGAAAUGGCAUUGAAAACUACCCUGCUUGAGGGUUGGAGGGGGGACUGGAAUUCUCGGUGUAGCAGUGAAAUGCGUAGAUAUCGAGAGGAACACCAGUGGCGAAGGCGAGUCCCUGGACAACUCCUGACACUGAGGCACGAAAGCUAGGGGAGCAAACAGG